UACGUAGGGCGCGAGCGUGUCCGGGAUUAUUGGGCGUAAAGAGCUCGUAGGCGCCUGUCGCGUCUGCUGUGAAAUCCCGGGGCUUAACCCCGGGCGUGCAGUGGAUACGGGCAGGCUGGAGGCAGGCAGGGGAGAACGGAAUUCCCGGUGUAGCGGUGAAAUGCGCAGAUAUCGGGAGGAACACCGGUGGCGAAGGCGGUUCUCUGGGCCUGUACUGACGCUGAGGAGCGAAAGCGUGGGGAGCGACAGG
rnacentral:rRNA from 1 species